rnacentral:lncRNA from 1 species
GGGGCAUUUACCGCCUUGCUAUGGAACAUUAACUGAAGCUCCCCCUAUGCUAAUGGAAAUAAUGUUUCCCAGAAGAGUCCAUGAUAAAAUAAAAAUGGUUUACACAAAAUCUUGCUACCUGAAACCAAAAUCAUGGUAUUUUGAAGACCAGAGAUAUGAGUCUCCGUUGUUUGGCAUCCCACUGACCCCACAUCUGUUUCGCUGCUAAUGCUCUGCUGCCAGAACUAUCCAAGCUGCCUCCCUCUGGGCCCAGGGACUAUCGCUGAAGAGGUGGGUGUGUAAGAUUGUAAGAGCUGGCUUUGUGGGAAAAAAUUAGGUCAAGGUCAAACCCUCCAAAUCAAGAAGGGGGUACA